CUACGGGUGGCAGCAGUGAGGAAUUUUGCGCAAUGGGGGGAACCCUGACGCAGCAACGCCGCGUGAGUGAUGAAGGCUUUCGGGUCGUAAAGCUCUGUCAAGUGGGAAGAACCUAUGCAGUGUUAAUAUCACUGUACACUGACGGUACCACUGAAGGAAGCACCGGCUAACUCCGUGCCAGCAGCCGCGGUAAUACGGGGGGUGCAAGCGUUAUUCGGAAUCAUUGGGCGUAAAGGGCACGUAGGCGGCUUGGUAAGUCAGAUGUGAAAGCCCGGGGCUUAACCCCGGAAGUGCAUUUGAUACUGCCAUGCUUGAGUAUGGGAGAGGGAAGUGGAAUUCCUGGUGUAGAGGUGAAAUUCGUAGAUAUCAGGAGGAACACCGGUGGCGAAGGCGACUUCCUGGACCAAUACUGACGCUGAGGUGCGAAGGCGUGGGUAGCAAACAGGAUUAGAUACCCGCGUAGUC
rnacentral:rRNA from 1 species